CCUACGGGGCGGCAGCAGUGGGGAAUAUUGGACAAUGGGCGAAAGCCUGAUCCAGCCAUGCCGCGUGUGUGAAGAAGGCCUUCGGGUUGUAAAGCACUUUCAGUGGGGAAGAAAGCCUUGGGGCUAAUACCCUCGAGGAAGGACAUCACCCACAGAAGAAGCACCGGCUAACUCCGUGCCAGCAGCCGCGGUAAUACGGAGGGUGCGAGCGUUAAUCGGAAUUACUGGGCGUAAAGCGCGCGUAGGCGGUCUGAUAAGCCGGUUGUGAAAGCCCCGGGCUCAACCUGGGAACGGCAUCCGGAACUGUCAGGCUAGAGUGCAGGAGAGGAAGGUAGAAUUCCCGGUGUAGCAGUGAAAUGCGUAGAGAUCGGGAGGAAUACCAGUGGCGAAGGCGGCCUUCUGGACUGACACUGACGCUGAGGUGCGAAAGCGUGGGUAGCAAACAGGAUUAGAUACCCCAGUAGUC
rnacentral:rRNA from 1 species